rnacentral:rRNA from 1 species
CGUGGAGGAUGAAGAUUUUCGGAUCGUAAACUCCUGUCGAACGGGACGAAAGUACCAUGGGUUAAUACCCCGUGGUCGUGACGGUACCGUUAAGGGAAACCCCGGCUAACUCCGUGC